CAGUCGCCGCGGGAAUACGAAGGGUGCAAGCGUUAAUCGGAAUUACUGGGCGUAAAGCGUGCGUAGGCGGUGAGUUAAGUCCGUUGUGAAAGCCCUGGGCUCAACCUGGGAAUUGCAGUGGAUACUGGAUCACUAGAGUGUGGUAGAGGAUAGUGGAAUUUCCGGUGUAGCAGUGAAAUGCGUAGAGAUCGGAAGGAACAUCUGUGGCGAAGGCGACUAUCUGGGCCAACACUGACACUGAGGCACGAAAGCGUGGGGAGCAAACAGGAUUAGAUACCCCAGUAGUCCCUGUCUCUUAUAC
rnacentral:rRNA from 1 species